UGGGGAAUUUUGGACAAUGGGCGCAAGCCUGAUCCAGCAAUGCCGCGUGAGUGAAGAAGGCCUUCGGGUUGUAAAGCUCUUUUGUCAGGGAAGAAACGGCUUGGGCUAAUAUCCUGGGCUAAUGACGGUACCUGAAGAAUAAGCACCGGCUAACUACGUGCCAGCAGCCGCGGUAAUACGUAGGGUGCAAGCGUUAAUCGGAAUUACUGGGCGUAAGGCGUGCGCAGGCGGUUUUGUAAGUCUGACGUGAAAUCCCCGGGCUCAACCUGGGAAUUGCGUUGGAGACUGCAAGGCUGGAGUCUGGCAGAGGGGGGUAGAAUUCCACGUGUAGCAGUGAAAUGCGUAGAGAUGUGGAGGAACACCGAUGGCGAAGGCAGCCCCCUGGGUCAAGACUGACGCUCAUGCACGAAAGCGUGGGGAGCAAACAGGAUUAGAUACCCUGGUAGUCCACGCCCUAAACGAUGUCUACUAGUUGUCGGGUUUUAAUUAACUUGGUAACGCAGCUAACGCGUGAAGUAGACCGCCUGGGGAGUACGGUCGCAAGAUUAAAACUCAAAGGAAUUGAC
rnacentral:rRNA from 1 species